UUUUUUAUUGGGACUAACAAUACGGCCUUUAAAGGCCACAUAAACCUAACAUCUCCGACUUAGCCUUUAGAGGCUUUACAAUCUCUCUUCCUUACAUUCUCAUCCCCCAAUUACAAUAUAUAUCUCAAGUAUUUUCACUUAUUCUGUCUUAUUACAUUAAUCAUGGCUUUCACUAUGAAUCCUGUCACAAAGGAUAUAUGGAGACAUUGCAUAUUUCUCUUUGCUGCUCGGAUCUUAUCUCGAACGUGGUCGUACUCCAUCUUUCAUGUCACAUCACGAAUCAUAGACCUGUUUUCACAGAAGAUCAUCAUGUACCAUAAUCGCAUGGGGUCGUAUCUUCAAGGGCUUAAUGCAAUUCUUCAAUCAAGUUGCACCUUUUUGUAGCCAUAUAACUAGUGUCACGCAUCCUGGUUCCAUGGGUGAACAAUAUAUUGUUAUUCCGGCCAACGCAUCAAACACAAGCAGGUGCUCUCACUGAAACAUUGAGUUUAUAUUGGUAUUUCAUAAUAUGAUACCUGUAUUUGAAUAUCCAAGUAGCUAAAAUAUAAUUGUGGGAUUAACUGCUCCAACUCAAACAUAACACGUAAAAAUUAUUAUCUCGUCAUUCUCAUGCCUGUGUCAUGAGGUAGUAUAACAAGUCUCAUGCCAAAUAGUAACUCAAUGCCCAAUUGGUUUCGUAAAAAUGUUAAACCAUUUUUCAAACCACAAAGGUUCAACCAUACUAGUUUUUUGGUUGCAAAUUCAUACAAAUCAAGUUAUUUAAUCAACACAACAUGUGUCAAGGAAUCCUAACAAAAUGGCCAUCCUAUGACAUACCAUAUGGAUCAUGGUCUUAGGUAAUCGAGGAUUCUAAAGAACUCAAAACAUGUCACAUAAUCAGUACUAAGAAAACAUGAGUAAAGACAUGUGGGUAUUUAAAAACAGUGCAUAGAUUAAUGACAGUGUCUCACAUGUACAUCGAAUACUCUCAAGACCUAAUGUUUUUCCUUAUAUAAAAAACUCUUGACUUGGUAUAUUUUCACAAAUAAUAGAUAGAAAAUAGCAUGGUGGUUUAAAACUUUUUUAAAUACUUAGUGGACCUUGCAAGACCAUGGAGUUUUCUCAAAACCAUAUCCAUUAACUUAGGUUUUUUUUUUCACAAGUGAUCCAAUUAAAUUUUAAAAUACAUAAUUAGUCUUCUUAAAUCAUUUUAUCGCAUUCACCUUUAAUUACUUACCAAAUCAUGUUUAUAGCCACAAAAACAAAUUAUAAAGUUCAUCUUAUAAUUUUAUUCAAAAUAAAUCAUGACCAAAGAAAUGGUUAUCAAAACCUGACAAAACACUUUUUAUUGGCAAAUAUGGAUACCUAAUCAUGAAUUCAUUAUCAUAUACAACACAUCAUAUAAGUGGACAUUAUUGAGAGGAUGAUUACUAAGACCACAUUCCAUCGGAAGACUCCCUUCGUGCUUACAUAUUUAAAUGAGCCACACCCAUUUCUCAUGUUUGAUACUAAAUCUCAUAGUCCUUGAUUAAACUAAAUCUUCAUGUGUAUCACUACAUUAAGUAAUUCAUACUUAAGCACGCUGAGGCAUAAAAACACAAGGUAUUAAAAAAUUGACUCUUUCAAAUUUGUUAGCACCUAUCACUUAAUAUCUAUACACUUUAUAUUUAUUCAUAAACAAAACAGCUAAAAUAUAAUCAAAGACGUAUAUAAAACAAAAAAGUUAUUGAAUCACCUUUUCUUAUAUGACCUUACUAUGUAAUGUAGGAUAAAUUUCAUACCUCAAAACCAUGUAGUGUGGUACCUAGGAUUUCUUGAUUCUUUACUUUUAUUUGUUGUCGAAAAUUUGUGAUAUUGGAAGAGUACACAACUGAUGAAGAACCACCCAAUCAUCACCUUUUACAUGUUGAUGAAGCAUCCACCACUUUGUCCUAUGGAUUCUCCCUUACAUAUAUGAAGAAAUACUCUUCUUCAUGUCAUCACACCAAAAAUCAGAAUCUUGAUAUUCCCAUUGAUCACAGUGUUUCUAUGCUACCACUAAGGCUCUCUACGCAUCGCUUCAUUAUGAAUAGAAACCAAGAUGUUUUUAUAGGUAUUGUAUUUUUUCUUCUUUCUGUAAUUCCCAGAUUGAGCACUCUUCACUUAAAGUAUCAUAUGUCGCCAACUCUGUAUUACCUCUCUCUGAAGUUUUUACUAUAAACCAUACUCAUGGCAUACUAUGAAACUUUUGAAUGAGCCCAAAAAGGCUUCAUUAUGAUGAAUACCUAUAUGUGCAUUAACAUGCCACAUCUUUCAAUUUACUGCAGAAAAGAAGAUGAGCAUCCCAUGAUAAAAAUAUAAUAUCGUUCAACUCUUAAAAAGUUUAUCUUUGAAUAUUUUUGGACUAUUGGAAUAGACUAAAAAAUACAACAGUGUGCUCAGUUCCAUUCCUAAAUCAUACCAUUUAGUAAGUCUACGAUUUUAGCGACAUUCACGUCACAAUACAGUUUUCAUAGUAGAAAAUCAUGUUAUGCACCUCUCAAUGAAAUAUUGUUUCUCUCAAUUCACAAUACAUUUUUUUGUUGAAAACUAGACUCAAAACCAAGUAUAACUUGAUGAUGUGAAUCUCAAAUAAUAUACUUUUUUUGAUAAAUAAAUAAGUGACAUUCACGGCACAAAAUAUAUCUUACUUCAAAAUUCUAAGAUGAACACUAUCUAGUAAAAUUGUAUUUUCUCUCUACCCACAAGGGGUUUCCUUCAAACCAUAUUUGUUUGAAAUUAGACACAAAAAAGUCUACAAAUAUCUUUCUACAGGUAUCAUAUCACUAUGUUAAGUAGACUUAAAAAAUAUAAAUAUUCACAUCUCCAUGAAACACAUCAAACUGUAAAAAUACCAGAUGACCUCUCUCUAAUCAAAAAAUUUUAUUCCUUAUUUCUCAUGGAUAUUUUUCUCAAAUAAUUUUUAUAAGAGACUAGACUCAAAAUGAAUGUCCAGAAACUUAAUAAGGGCCUUAAAACAGUAUUUUAUGAAUAGAAAUAAAAUCAUGACUUCGAAAUCAUUGAAACAUUUACAUUGCAAAAAACAUCACUUACUCAUCGUUCAAUUAAAUAACUAUAUCUUUCUAACCACAAGGAUUUUCUUCAUGAAACUAUUUUUAUUUGCAAGUAGACUCAAUUUGAUGUGUUGAAGUCAAAUUUCAGGUAAAAAAUAUAAUCAUACGAUUGGUAGAAAAAUUCACGGGACUCAAUAGAAAGUUCUUGGAUUAUGCAUGGUCAAAACUGACACCAUUUAUUGGUGAGUCCAUAACUCUCAAUUCCCCUAGGAUCUCCUACUGAAAUUUUGCAGGUAGAUUCUACUCUCAAAAGCACAUAAUAUCAUUAAGUAUGAUUCAAAUAAAUACCUAAUUAUGUUGUGCAUAUCAGUGCUCCAAAAUGACAAUAAUACUUGAUUUUGCAUAGUGCAUUCUUCGUGCUUGACUGAGCCAGUAAUUCUUUCGGAAGUGUAUCACUUGACCAUAAAAGUCCUUGGCUUUCUUAUAUCUCAUUCCCAACUCACCAAAAUUUGUAAAAUAAAAGAAAUAGGGCAGUAAGUAGAGUUCGCUCUGAUACCAAUGAAAGUUGGACAAUGUGAUCUAGCAUGGUGUAUAUAAAUUUAAAAUUUUUAUUUUUUCUUUUAUUUUUCACCAACUAGAUCACUCACAAUGGUCUAAGUAUAAUAAAAUUCUCUUGCAAUGUACAAGUACACAAAUAAACAAAUAAAAAUGGUUUUCUCUUGCUACCAUUAAUUACAACCUUUCAUUGAAUAAACAAAAUGUAACACAAAUAAUCCAAGGACUCUCACUUCCUGCUACUUUAACAAUUCUUUUAUUAUACAAAUAGAAUUGCAUAAACUUGAUAUUGGGAACAUGAAGAACAUAACACUCAUGGAAAUAAGGGAUCAUAAUAAAGCAUAAAAGGAAAAAUACUGCAAAACACAAAGUAAAAGAUUGUUGGAGAUUAUCUCAACGGGCUUAUUACACCCUACAUUGAGUCUCCUCAUUCUAGUGGUACUCGGUCUUUUGACUCUACUAUGUAUAACAAGACUUUUUCAAAGCCAUAUGGAUCUCGAUCUAAAACCAACUACUUAAUGCUCGAAUGCCCUAGUCUUACUCAUGCCCCAUUAGCUUGAUCUUACAGAGAUGAGAGAUUAAUCAAGAAAGAGAGAGAGAUUUCUUAGCUUGGGCAUGCCCCUCUUUUUAACUAACUAAAGAGGGAUAGAAGAUCUCUUACUUGGGGUAUGCCCCCCUUCUUAGAACCCACUAAGAGAGAGAAAGAUAACCCUAUGUUGGGUAUGGCCCCUAGAGAGAGAAAGAGAGAGCUUAGAGAGAACUAGAUUUUAUCAAGGAGAAUGUGUAUAGAUAAACUCCUUGAAAAGGUAGAAAGAGAUAUAGAGAGG
rnacentral:lncRNA from 1 species